AAGUCGUAACAAGGUUUCCGUAGGUGAACCUGCGGAAGGAUCAUUAACACGUAUCCAACGUUAAACCCCCCGUGAACCUUCAUUGUGCUCCCCCAUUCCGUUAGGACGCGGCAAUCCCUGGUAAAUCAUCGCCGAACAGUUUUGAUUCAGGGACCUCUGCAUGGAGUGGGCAGCAGCGCGAGGCAAGUGGCCUGGCAUUCGAAAGAAUGGCGCAGUAACGAUCGCUAGAGGCCGACACGGCCGGCCCCUAUCACCUUUGCAUGAAAACGGGCCUGCGCUUAAUUGUGCGGCCACCAAACUCGAACAACUGUUAACAAUGGAUAUCUUGGUUCUC
rnacentral:misc_RNA from 1 species